GGACGAACGCUGGCGGCGUGCUUAACACAUGCAAGUCGAACGGUAAGGCCCUUCGGGGUACACGAGUGGCGAACGGGUGAGUAACACGUGGGUGAUCUGCCCUGCACUUCGGGAUAAGCCUGGGAAACUGGGUCUAAUACCGGAUAGGACCAUGGACUUCACGGUUUGUGGUGGAAAGCUUUUGCGGUGUGGGAUGGGCCCGCGGCCUAUCAGCUUGUUGGUGGGGUAAUGGCCUACCAAGGCGACGACGGGUAGCCGGCCUGAGAGGGUGUCCGGCCACACUGGGACUGAGAUACGGCCCCAGACUCCUACGGGAGGCAGCAGUGGGGAAUAUUGCACAAUGGGCGCAAGCCUGAUGCAGCGACGCCGCGUGAGGGAUGACGGCCUUCGGGUUGUAAACCUCUUUCAAUAGGGACGAAGCGCAAGUGACGGUACCUAUAGAAGAAGCACCGGCCAACUACGUG
rnacentral:rRNA from 1 species